AUUUCUCCUUAGCCUGCCUUGCCUUUAGCAGGAGAAGAAUGGUGAGAAUAGAGAGAAUCUAGUCCUGAGCAUGGUCGACCUGGGUUCUGGGCAGGUUACCUGUGCCAUGCCCUUAUUCUACCCGUUGGCCUGUGCAGGGAGGUGAGCACUGAGGAAAGACAGGUGUGUUCACUCUGCCCAGAUCUCAUGGACUUUUUCAUAAAGCUUACGUUUUAUAUUUUACAAUUUGUAUUGAAGCAUAAUGUGCAGAGUGAAAAGCACCAAUCUUGGGAGUUCAGCCAGACCUGCCUUGGAGAACCUUUCCCUCCACGUCUUCUGUCUGUGUUUUAGAGAACUGGAAAAUAGGCCACUUUAACAUGGUCUCUCCUACAAAGAGAAAAUGUUGAAUUGCCCACAAGGACCAUUCAAAGGGUAAAAGGAGUAAUGAGCCUCCAUCCUUGCCCCAGCCCUGCAGCUCUGCUCCAGGAAAUCUCCACUUAAAAAUUAAACAUUGGUUUGUGCUUUGUUUUUUCUCCCUAAUGCUGUAAUUUGAAUACUUUGUAGCUCAAAACAUAUAGAACUCUACCAUUAUUUUCAUAGUCUCUUGUUUCUGGUCUUCUAUUCAGGUAUUUUAUCCAUUUUGAGUUAAGUUUUGUAUAUGCCAAAAGAGAAGGGUCCAGUUUUAUUGUUUUGCAUAUGGAAAUAGUAUUCCCACCACCAUUUAUUGAAGAGACUCUCCUGUCCCUAUUGUGUCUUCUUCAUGCCAUUGUCAAAAGUUACUUGACCAUAUGUGUUUCGAUGUGUUUCUGGACUCUCAAUUUUAUUUCACUGGUAUGUGUCUGGUUUUAUGCCAAUACCAUAUUGUUUUGAUUACCGUAGCUUUGUAAUAUAAUUUAAAACCAGGAAUUGUGAUGUCUUCAACUUUGUUUUUUUUUCUCAGAAUUGUUUUGUCUAUUUGGGUUCUUUCACCAUUUCAUACAAAUUUUAGGAUUUUUUUUUUUAUUUCUGUAAAGAAUGCCAUGGGGAUUUUGAUAGGAAUUGUGCUGAAUCGGUAUAUUGUUUUGUUUGGGAUAGACAUUUUAACAAUCUUAAUUCUUCCAAUUUUCAGCCCAGGAUAUCUUUCCAUUUAUUUUUACAUUCUUUAAUUUCUUUCACUAUUUUUUUUUUUUUCAUUUUCAGUGUGUAGAUCCUUCACCUCCUUGUUUCUUCCUAGGUGUUUUAUUUUUUGAUGCUAUUGUACAUGGAAUUGUUUUCUUGAUUUUUGUUUCAGUUUUGUUAGGGAAUCUAUGGGCAUUUAAAAAUGCAUUUGUUCUGUAUUUAUUUGAAUUUUGCCUUCAUUUACCCAGCAGGAGAUGACCAUUUAACUAACAUCUAAAUUUCGAAUUAAACUUUCC
rnacentral:lncRNA from 1 species